UUAGUUACUAUGCAUUCCAUUCUUCUAUAAAUAGAAGCUCAUUCCUUCAUUAUUUCUUACGAAUUCACUGAAACUCUAGAGAGAGAAACUAUAGAGAGAGUUCUUCUUCUAUAAUCUUGAGCGUAUUUAUUUAGAGUUUAAGAAAGCUUUGAGCGUAGUGCAGUUUUCUUCGAGUAUAUCCUCGCCCUACCAGUCAGAAUACUUUUCUUUCAAAGGUAGGGGAUAUUAUUUGUUGUACUCGUAAGGGAUAUUAUUUGUUGUACUCGUAAGGGGUAUUCUUUCUUUCUUAUUCGUGAAGAAAACUUCUGUUAUUCCAUUCUUUAUUGUUCUGUUGGAAUAACCUGUAUACGCCGUUACCCUAUACUUGGUGAAAUUCUUCUAUUAUUCCAUUCUUU
rnacentral:lncRNA from 1 species